UGAGGGAAAACAACGAAAAGAAAUAUAGAUAUGGCAAUCUCAUCAGAGAUAGGUUGAAGUUGGAGGGUUUUGUGUCACAGAGUUAACCCAGCAAUACCAAACACGCCCAUGUUCCUCCAAAUCAACCGAACAUCAAAACUACACCUCUUCUUCUCAAGAGGAUUUAGUGUACGUGGGAAAACUAGUGGCGGGUUCUUUUGCGGGUGGGGCUGCAAUCAAAUAUGGCAGUGCUCUAUUCCCUGAGAUAACUACUCCCAACCUUGUGGUGGCUCUACUUCUCAUUCUAACUCCUGUGCUUGUCGCUGUUUUUCUUUUGAUCAAGGAAAGUCGUACAAACCCAUAGCAGCAACUUUAUUUAUCAUUUAUCAAUAUCAAAUUUGUGUGAUGCACUUGCUUGUACUGUGUCUGCAUGAUUUCUCAGAAUCCAACUGUAAUAAUACUAAAAUAAAAAUGGUUUUAAUAAUUAAUUUAUUCUUAAUGGUUU